rnacentral:misc_RNA from 1 species
GUUUUCUAGUCGUUGUCUCUGUUUUCGGUUUUUGAUUGGAGUUCGUUUAAUUUCCAUUCAAGGUAUAUUUUUUUUGCCGAGAAAAUAAUGCAAAAUAUAAUUAUUUAACUUUGUUGAGAUAAAUUUCCGAUCUUUUUUGAUAAUUACUUGUGGGACUUGAAGAAAAUCUGGGAAAAAAAAGGUUUUGACAGAAAGAAGGAUUGUGUAAU